UUAAUUUUAAAUGUCCUUUUUUGUCCUGUCCCAGUUAAGUUGUUUGUGUGAAAAAUGUGCAGUUGGGUUCCGGAGGGUGCUGGGGAUCAGUUCCCCUGUGGUUUUUCCUGUUUGGAAAACAGUGUCCGGCUUGCCUCCGGAUACAGAGUAACCAUUCCUUGACCCCUGCUGUUAGAGGGGUAUAUAAGCCCAUGUUGGGACGAAUAAAGAGAGCUGCUUCCCUGACGAACUGAAACUGGGUGUUUAGAGUGCUGUGUAACCUCGGCGUCCCUCGCCAGAUUUCGUGCUCCAGCUGCGCCGGCCGCAGCAGAUAAAUACAUUCCUAAGUCUGUAUCUACCUUUCUUAACAGCUGGGAGAUGCUGGCAGAUUUGUUCUUGGAUUUUACAGGUUCAAUUCCUGCUUCCUAAGUAGCUCUCCAGCAGCCAGCAGAGGGCACGUCCCUUGCACCCCCUUAUUUACAUGCUGUUCCUGAGCAUGAAACUGUCUAUCUCUGAUUCAACAUGUGAAAAAUUUUACCAGUUCUACUUCUUCUGUAGCUAUGACAUAUCCUUUUAGACCAGAGCCGAGCAAACACUUCUCCCAGGGGACGACUGUGAGUGGCCAGCCUGCUCUCCAAGGUGACCAUAUGUGAUGAAAAGUGCAGACAUGACAGAAGAAAAUCAACAGGAUGGUGGAGUAUGCUGCCUCCGAGAUGGAGAAAGGAAUCAGAGAAAGGAUAUUGCAGCCCAAAUAAAGGAGUCUGACAAGAAGUAGGGUCCAACCUGGCAGUGCAUUGCGAAAAGGAACUGUGCUAGUUAUGUGACCCAUGAAACCAAAUACUUACCUAUUUCUACCUGUGUCAAUCAGCCAUUGUUCUACUCAAGUGUGAUUGAAAAUAUGCAUGGCAUAUGCCAAACCACAGUGAUCCACUAGAAAUUAAGAACUGCAGCUUAAACUCCAAAAAACACAGAGAUCACAAUCUCCUGUUUGGUUGAGAGACCAUGAUAUUUUGAAUCUUCACUGAGGUAAUAAAAUAAUCAAUAAAUCACA